GAUGAACGCUGGCGGCGUGCCUAAUACAUGCAAGUCGAGCGAACGGACGAGAAGCUUGCUUCUCUGAUGUUAGCGGCGGACGGGUGAGUAACACGUGGAUAACCUACCUAUAAGACUGGGAUAACUUCGGGAAACCGGAGCUAAUACCGGAUAAUAUUUUGAACCGCAUGGUUCAAAAGUGAAAGACGGUCUUGCUGUCACUUAUAGAUGGAUCCGCGCUGCAUUAGCUAGUUGGUAAGGUAACGGCUUACCAAGGCAACGAUGCAUAGCCGACCUGAGAGGGAGGACGGCCACACUGUAACUGAGACACAGUCCAGACUCCGACGGGAGGCAGCAGUAGGGAAUCUUCCGCGAUGGACGAAAGCCUAACAGAGCAACGCCGCGUGAGUGAUGAAGGUCUUCGGAUCGGAAAACUCUGUUAUUAGGGAAGAACAUAUGUGUAAGUAACUGUGCACAUCUUGACGGUACCUAAUCAGAAAGCCACGGCUAACUACGUG
rnacentral:rRNA from 1 species